ensembl:lncRNA
AGCACUUUCAAAGCUGGCACACAAAGGUCUGGCCGACUCUGGGUGAGAAAGUCUUCAGCGUGAAGUGUUCCUGCUCCCUUGUUCCCGGCCACUUUCCCACCACCUCUGCAUCACUAAUCUCUCAAUUCCACUGUGCUCUUGGCACUUGAGAGUGACUUUGUGCUCAGAGGAACAGGCCUGGGACUCCCUGACUGUCCAUUGGCUAAGAAUCUGCCUUCCAACGCAGGGGAGUUUUAUUUAGAAAAUAAAGGAAAAUACGAAAAUAAAGGAAAAUACAUCCUCAAGGCGUGAGGGCGUGCCGACGUGGAGAGAAGAGAA